rnacentral:rRNA from 1 species
GGAUGCGAUCAUACCAGCACUAAUGCACCGGAUCCCAUCAGAACUCCGCAGUUAGGCGUGCUUGGGCGAGAGUAGUACUAGGAUGGGUGACCUCCCGGGAAGUCCUCGUGUUGCAUCCCUUU